UACGAAGGGGGCUAGCGUUGCUCGGAAUCACUGGGCGUAAAGCGCACGUAGGCGGAUUGUUAAGUCAGGGGUGAAAUCCUGGAGCUCAACUCCAGAACUGCCUUUGAUACUGGCGAUCUUGAGUCCGGGAGAGGUGAGUGGAACUCCGAGUGUAGAGGUGAAAUUCGUAGAUAUUCGGAAGAACACCAGUGGCGAAGGCGGCCUUCUGGACCAGUACUGACGCUCAUGCACGAAAGCGUGGGGAGCAAACAGG
rnacentral:rRNA from 1 species